rnacentral:rRNA from 1 species
CCUACGGGAGGCAGCAGUCGGGAAUUUUGGGCAAUGGGCGAAAGCCUGACCCAGCAACGCCGCGUGAGGGAGGAAAUCCUUCGGGAUGUAAACCUCACAAGUAAGGGAAGAGAGCAGGAGGGUGAAUAUCUCUCCUGUCCGACGGUACCUUACGUAAGCCACGGCUAACUACGUGCCAGCAGCCGCGGUAAU